rnacentral:rRNA from 1 species
CCUACGGGAGGCAGCAGUGGGGAAUUUUGGACAAUGGGCGCAAGCCUGAUCCAGCCAUGCCGCGUGAGUGAAGAAGGCCUUCGGGUUGUAAAGCUCUUUCAGUUGGGAAGAAAUGAUUGCAACUAAUAAUUCUAAUUAAUGCCGGUUCCGAC